UACGUAGGGUGCGAGCGUUGUCCGGAAUUACUGGGCGUAAAGAGCUCGUAGGCGGUUUGUCGCGUCGUCCGUGAAAACUCGGGGCUCAACUCCGAGCUUGCAGUCGAUACGGGCAGGCUAGAGUUCGGCAGGGGAGACUGGAAUUCCUGGUGUAGCGGUGAAAUGCGCAGAUAUCAGGAGGAACACCGGUGGCGAAGGCGGGUCUCUGGGCCGAUACUGACGCUGAGGAGCGAAAGCGUGGGGAGCGAACAGG
rnacentral:rRNA from 1 species